rnacentral:rRNA from 1 species
CCAGCAGCCGCGGUAAUUCCAGCUCCAAUAGCGUAUAUUAAAAUUGUUGCAGUUAAAAAGCUCGUAGUUGAAUUUCUGCUAAAAAUAACCGGUCUGCUUUUAAUAAAGGUGGUAUCUUGGUGUGUUUUUAGCAAUAAUGUCCUUUGAAAUGUUUUUUACUUCAUUGUAAUAAAUUAUAUUUAGGAUUUUUACUUUGAGAAAAUUAGAGUGUUUCUAGCAGGCUAAUGCUUUGAAUACUGCAGCAUGAAAUAA